rnacentral:rRNA from 1 species
UGCGGCUUAAUUUGACUCAACACGGGAAACCUCACCCGGCCCGGACACGGACAGGAUUGACAGAUUGAUAGCUCUUUCUCGAUUCCGUGGGUGGUGGUGCAUGGCCGUUCUUAGUUGGUGGAGCGAUUUGUCUGGUUAAUUCCGAUAACGAACGAGACUCUGGCAUGCUAACUAGUUACGCGACCCCCGAGCGGUCGGCGUCCCCCAACUUCUUAGAGGGACAAGUGGCGUUCAGCCACCCGAGAUUGAGCAAUAACAGGUCUGUGAUGCCCUUAGAUGUCCGGGGCUGCACGCGCGCUACACUGACUGGCUCAGCGUGUGCCUACCCUACGCCGGCAGGCGCGGGUAACCCGUUGAACCCCAUUCGUGAUGGGGAUCGGGGAUUGCAAUUAU